rnacentral:rRNA from 1 species
ACACAUGCAAGUCGAACGAGAGAGAAGGAGCUUGCUUCUUCGAUCGAGUGGCGAACGGGUGAGUAACGCGUGAGGAACCUGGCUCAAAGAGGGGGACAACAGUUGGAAACGACUGCUAAUACCGCAUAAGCCCACGGGUCGGCAUCGACCUGAGGGAAAAGGAGCAAUCCGCUUUGAGAUGGCCUCGCGUCCGAUUAGCUAGUUGGUGAGGUAACGGCCCACCAAGGCGACGAUCGGUAGCCGGACUGAGAGGUUGAACGGCCACAUUGGGACUGAGACACGGCCCAGACUCCUACGGGAGGCAGCAGUGGGGAAUAUUGCACAAUGGGGGAAACCCUGAUGCAGCGACGCCGCGUGGAGGAAGAAGGUCUUCGGAUUGUAAACUCCUGUUGUUGAGGAAGAUAAUGACGGUACUCAACAAGGAAGUGACGGCUAACUACGUGCCAGCAGCCGCGGUAAAACGUAGGUCACAAGCGUUGUCCGGAAUUACUGGGUGUAAAGGGAGCGCAGGCGGGAAGACAAGUUGGAAGUGAAAUCUAUGGGCUCAACCCAUAAACUGCUUUCAAAACUGUUUUUCUUGAGUAGUGCAGAGGUAGGCGGAAUUCCCGGUGUAGCGGUGGAAUGCGUAGAUAUCGGGAGGAACACCAGUGGCGAAGGCGGCCUACUGGGCACCAACUGACGCUGAGGCUCGAAAGUGUGGGUAGCAAACAGGAUUAGAUACCCUGGUAGUCCACACCGUAAACGAUGAUUACUAGGUGUUGGAGGAUUGACCCCUUCAGUGCCGCAGUUAACACAAUAAGUAAUCCACCUGGGGAGUACGACCGCAAGGUUGAAACUCAAAGGAAUUGACGGGGGCCCGCACAAGCAGUGGAGUAUGUGGUUUA